CCUACGGGAGGCAGCAGUGGGGAAUAUUGGACAAUGGGGGGAACCCUGAUCCAGCGACGCCGCGUGAGUGAAGAAGUAUUUCGGUAUGUAAAGCUCUAUCAGCAGGGAAGAAAGAAAUGACGGUACCUGACUAAGAAGCCCCGGCUAACUACGUGCCAGCAGCCGCGGUAAUACGUAGGGGGCAAGCGUUAUCCGGAUUUACUGGGUGUAAAGGGAGCGUAGACGGUUACGCAAGUCUGGAGUGAAAGGCGGGGGCCCAACCCCCGGACUGCUUUGGAACCUGUAUAACGGGAGUGCAGGGUAGGUAAGUGGAAUUCCUAGGGUAGCGGUGAAAGGCGUAGAUAUUAGGAGGAACACCAGUGGCGAAGGCGGCUUACUGGACUGUAACUGACGUUGAGGCUCGAAAGCGUGGGGAGCAAACAGGAUUAGAUACCCGGGUAGUC
rnacentral:rRNA from 1 species